AGAUUAAGUUAUUAAGGGCGCACGGUGGAUGCCUUGGCACUAGAAGCCGAUGAAGGACGUUACUAACGACGAUAUGCUUUGGGUAGCUGUAAGUAAGCAUUGAUCCAGAGAUUUCCGAAUGGGGAAACCCAGCACAAGUUAUGUUGUGUUAUCGACAUGUGAAUACAUAGCAUGUUAGAAGGCAGACCCGGAGAACUGAAACAUCUUAGUACCCGGAGGAAGAGAAAGAAAAAUCGAUUCCCUGAGUAGCGGCGAGCGAAACGGGAAAAGCCCAAACCAAUAAGCUUGCUUAUUGGGGUUGUAGGACACUCUAUACGGAGUUACAAAGGAAUAUAUUAGACGAAUCAUCUGGAAAGAUGAAUCAAAGAAGGUAAUAAUCCUGUAGUUGAAAAUAUAUUCUCUCUUGAGUGGAUCCUGAGUACGACGGAGCACGUGAAAUUCCGUCGGAAUCUGGGAGGACCAUCUCCUAAGGCUAAAUACUCUCUAGUGACCGAUAGUGAACCAGUACCGUGAGGGAAAGGUGAAAAGUACCCCGGAAGGGGAGUGAAAGAGAACUUGAAACCGUGUGCUUACAAGUAGUCAGAGCCCGUUAAUGGGUGAUGGCGUGCCUUUUGUAGAAUGAACCGGCGAGUUACGAUUUGAUGCAAGGUUAAGCAGGAAAUGUGGAGCCGUAGCGAAAGCGAGUCUGAAUAGGGCGUUGAGUAUUUGGUCGUAGACCCGAAACCAGGUGAUCUACCCUUGGUCAGGUUGAAGUUCAGGUAACACUGAAUGGAGGACCGAACCGACUUACGUUGAAAAGUGAGCGGAUGAACUGAGGGUAGCGGAGAAAUUCCAAUCGAACUUGGAGAUAGCUGGUUCUCUCCGAAAUAGCUUUAGGGCUAGCCUCAAGUGAUGAUUAUUGGAGGUAGAGCACUGUUUGGACGAGGGGCCCCUCUCGGGUUACCGAAUUCAGACAAACUCCGAAUGCCAAUUAAUUUAACUUGGGAGUCAGAACAUGGGUGAUAAGGUCCGUGUUCGAAAGGGAAACAGCCCAGACCACCAGCUAAGGUCCCAAAAUAUAUGUUAAGUGGAAAAGGAUGUGGCGUUGCCCAGACAACUAGGAUGUUGGCUUAGAAGCAGCCAUCAUUUAAAGAGUGCGUAAUAGCUCACUAGUCGAGUGACACUGCGCCGAAAAUGUACCGGGGCUAAACAUAUUACCGAAGCUGUGGAUUGUCCUUUGGACAAUGGUAGGAGAGCGUUCUAAGGGCGUUGAAGCAUGAUCGCAAGGACAUGUGGAGCGCUUAGAAGUGAGAAUGCCGGUGUGAGUAGCGAAAGACGGGUGAGAAUCCCGUCCACCGAUUGACUAAGGUUUCCAGAGGAAGGCUCGUCCGCUCUGGGUUAGUCGGGUCCUAAGCUGAGGCCGACAGGCGUAGGCGAUGGAUAACAGGUUGAUAUUCCUGUACCACCUAGUAUCGUUUUAAUCGAUGGGGGGACGCAGUAGGAUAGGCGAAGCGUACGAUUGGAUUGUACGUCUAAGCAGUGAGACUGAGUGUUAGGCAAAUCCGGCACUCAUAAGGUCAAGCUGUGAUGGGGAGAGGAAAUUGUUUCCUCGAGUCGUUGAUUUCACACUGCCAAGAAAAGCCUCUAGAUAGAUAACAGGUGCCCGUACCGCAAACCGACACAGGUAGUCAAGAUGAGAAUUCUAAGGUGAGCGAGCGAACUCUCGUUAAGGAACUCGGCAAAAUGACCCCGUAACUUCGGGAGAAGGGGUGCUCUUUAGGGUGCAAGCCCAGAAGAGCCGCAGUGAAUAGGCCCAAGCGACUGUUUAUCAAAAACACAGGUCUCUGCUAAACCGUAAGGUGAUGUAUAGGGGCUGACGCCUGCCCGGUGCUGGAAGGUUAAGAGGAGUGGUUAGCUUCUGCGAAGCUACGAAUCGAAGCCCCAGUAAACGGCGGCCGUAACUAUAACGGUCCUAAGGUAGCGAAAUUCCUUGUCGGGUAAGUUCCGACCCGCACGAAAGGCGUAACGAUUUGGGCACUGUCUCAACGAGAGACUCGGUGAAAUCAUAGUACCUGUGAAGAUGCAGGUUACCCGCGACAGGACGGAAAGACCCCGUGGAGCUUUACUGUAGCCUGAUAUUGAAAUUCGGCACAGCUUGUACAGGAUAGGUAGGAGCCAUUGAAACGUGAGCGCUAGCUUACGUGGAGGCGCUGGUGGGAUACUACCCUAGCUGUGUUGGCUUUCUAACCCGCACCACUUAUCGUGGUGGGAGACAGUGUCAGGCGGGCAGUUUGACUGGGGCGGUCGCCUCCUAAAAGGUAACGGAGGCGCUCAAAGG
rnacentral:rRNA from 1 species